rnacentral:rRNA from 1 species
UACGGAGGGCGCAAACGUUGCUCGGAAUCAUUGGGCGUAAAGCGCACGUAGGCGGCUUCUUAAGUCGGGUGUGAAAGCCCUCGGCUCAACCGAGGAAGUGCAUUCGAAACUGAGGGGCUUGAAUACUGGAGAGGAUGGCGGAAUUCCCGGUGUAGAGGUGAAAUUCGUGGAUAUCGGGAGGAACACCAGCGGCGAAGGCGGCCAUCUGGACAGAUAUUGACGCUGAGGUGCGAAAGCGUGGGGAGCAAACAGG